UAGUCAUAUGCUUGUCUCAAAGAUUAAGCCAUGCAUGUCUCAGUGUAAACUUUUAAACGGUGAAACUGCGAAUGGCUCAUUAAAACAGUUAUAGUUUAUUUGAUGUUCAUUCUUACAUGGAUAACCGUGGGAAUUCCAGGGCUAAUACAUGCGGCCGCAAGGCGAGUGUUUAUUAGAUUCAAACCAAAACCGUGUUAAAGCGGGUACAUUGGAAUGAUAAUAACCUAUCGAAUCGCAUGCUGUAUGGCGGCGAUAGAUCAUUCGAGUUUCUGACCUA
rnacentral:rRNA from 1 species